GGAAAAGAAACAAAUACACAUCUGUCUCUUCUACAGCCAUCUACUUUGGAGAUGCCUUACCUGGAGAUUUCUGUAAUCCACCAGCAGCCUGGUGACAUGAUGGACGGGGAGAUGCUCAAUUAGAGCUGGGAGGCUUUCAGUCUAGAAGGGCCUUUGCCAGGACUUCUCCCCUUCAGGGAUUAACUAAUGAUGAAACCCAUGAUCUGCCUAAAAUCUUUACCAUGAAGUAUUUCAAUGUGUGGACUCUGACGUCUUUACCACACAUCACACUUAAAGGGAUUCUCCCCCAAGUGGAUCUGCAUUCAAGAAAUAUUUCUCGAAUAAUUAUCUGUGCCAGGCAGUACGUCAGGAGCUGGGGAC